rnacentral:misc_RNA from 1 species
GAUGAAGAACGUAGCGAAAUGCGAUAAGUAGUGUGAAUUGCAGAAUUCAGUGAAUCAUCGAAUCUUUGAACGCACAUUGCGCCCCUUGGUAUUCCAUGUGGCAUGCCUGUUCGAGCGUCAUUUGUACCUUCAAGCUCUGCUUGGUGUUGGGUGUUUGUCUCGCCUUUGCGUGUAGACUCGCCUUAAAACCAUUGGCAGCCGGCGUAUUGAUUUCGGAGCGCAGUACAUCUCGCGCUUUGCACUCAGAACGACGACGUCCAAAAGUACAUUUUUACACUCUUGACCUCGGAUCAGGUAGGGAUACCCGCUGAACUUAAGCAUAUCAAUAAGCGGAGGA